rnacentral:misc_RNA from 1 species
UUAAGUUCAGCGGGUAGUCCUACCUGAUUUGAGGUCAAAAAGAUCAAAUUGUCCCGUGAAGGACGAUUAGAAGCCAGACAAUCCGAGCUACACAGUGACGACAUUAUCACACCGCAUAUAUGCUGCGAAUCAAAUUCCAGCUAAUACAUUCAAGGGAAGCCAAUUUGCACCAGCAAUCCCCAAGUCCAAGCUCACCCUUC